rnacentral:rRNA from 1 species
ACCUAAUAGAUACCCAGGUAGUCCACGCCCUAAACGAUGCGAACUGGAUGUUGGGUACAUUACGGUACUCAGUGUCGAAAGCUAAACGCGUUAAGUUCGCCGCCUGGGGAGUACGGUCGCAAGACUGAAACUCAAAGGAAUUGACGGGGGCCCGGCACAAGCGGUGGAGUAUGUGGUUUAAUUCGAUGCAACGCGAAGAACCUUACCUGGCCUUGACAUCUGUCGAAUCCUGCAGAGAUGCGGGAGUGCCGCAAGGAACGACAAGACAGGUGCUGCAUGGCUGUCGUCAGCUCGUGUCGUGAGAUGUUGGGUUAAGUCCCGCAACGAGCGCAACCCUUGUCCCUAGUUGCCAGCACAUCAUGGUGGGAACUCUAGGGAGACUGCCGGUGACAAACCGGAGGAAGGU